AAUGGGGGAAACCCUGAACCAGCAACGCCGCGUGAAGGAAGAAGGCCUUCGGGUUGUAAACUUCUUUGACGGGGGACGAUAAUGACGGUACCCCGAAAACAAGCCACGGCUAACUACGUGCCAGCAGCCGCGGUAAUACGUAGGUGGCGAGCGUUGUCCGGAUUUACUGGGUGUAAAGGGCGUGCAGGCGGAGAUUCAAGUCAGAUGUGAAAUUCCACGGCUUAACUGUGGACGUGCAUUUGAAACUGGAUCCCUUGAGUGCUGGAGAGGUAAGCGGAAUUCCCGGUGUAGCGGUGGAAUGCGUAGAGAUCGGGAGGAACACCAGUGGCGAAGGCGACUUACUGGACAGUAACUGACGCUGAGGCGCGAAAGCGUGGGGAGCAAA
rnacentral:rRNA from 1 species